GACGUAGGAUGCAAGCGUUAUCCGGAAUUAUUGGGCGUAAAGCGUUCGUAGGUGGUUUGUUAAGUUGGAUGUUAAAUCCCUGAGCUCAACUCAGGAUUGGUAUCCAAAACUGGCAAGCUGGAGACAGGUAGAGGUAGAUGGAACUCUGUGUGUAGGGGUAAUAUCCGUAGAUAUACAGAAGAACACCAAAAGCGAAAGCAGUCUACUGGACCUGUUCUGACACUCAAGAACGAAAGCGUGGGUAGCAAACGGG
rnacentral:rRNA from 1 species